rnacentral:rRNA from 1 species
GGUACAGGGUGAUAGUCCCGUACACAAAAACACACUGGCUGUGAACUCGAUGAGUAGGGCGGGACACGUGACAUCCUGUCUGAAUAUGGGGGGACCAUCCUCCAAGGCUAAAUACUCCUGACUGACCGAUAGUGAACCAGUACCGUGAGGGAAAGGCGAAAAGAACCCCGGCGAGGGGAGUGAAAUAGAACCUGAAACCGUGUACGUACAAGCAGUGGGAGCACCUUCGUGGUGUGACUGCGUACCUUUUGUAUAAUGGGUCAGCGACUUAUAUUUUGUAGCAAGGUUAACCGAAUAGGGGAGCCGUAGGGAAACCGAGUCUUAACUGGGCGUCUAGUUGCAAGGUAUAGACCCGAAACCCGGUGAUCUAGCCAUGGGCAGGUUGAAGGUUGGGUAACACUAACUGGAGGACCGAACCGACUAAUGUUGAAAAAUUAGCGGAUGACUUGUGGCUGGGGGUGAAAGGCCAAUCAAACCGGGAGAUAGCUGGUUCUCCCCGAAAGCUAUUUAGGUAGCGCCUCGUGAACUCAUCUUCGGGGGUAGAGCACUGUUUCGGCUAGGGGUCCAUCCCGGAUUACCAAACCGAUGCAAACUCCGAAUACCGAAGAAUGUUAUCACGGGAGACACACGGCGGGUGCUAACGUCCGUCGUGAAGAGGGAAACAACCCAGACCGCCAGCUAAGGUCCCAAAGUCAUGGUUAAGUGGGAAACGAUGUGGGAAGGCAUAGACAGCCAGGAUGUUGGCUUAGAAGCAGCCAUCAUUUAAAGAAAGCGUAAUAGCUCACUGGUCGAGUCGGCCUGCGCGGAAGAUGUAACGGGGCUAAACCAUGCACCGAAGCUGCGGCAGCGACGCUUAGGCGUUGUUGGGUAGGGGAGCGUUCUGUAAGCCGUUGAAGGUGGCCUGUGAGGGCUGCUGGAGGUAUCAGAAGUGCGAAUGCUGACAUAAGUAACGAUAAUGCGGGUGAAAAACCCGCACGCCGGAAGACCAAGGGUUCCUGUCCAACGUUAAUCGGGGCAGGGUGAGUCGACCCCUAAGGCGAGGCUGAAAAGCGUAGUCGAUGGGAAACAGGUUAAUAUUCCUGUACUGGGUGUGACUGCGAAGGGGGGACGGAGAAGGCUAGGCUAGCCGGGCGACGGUUGUCCCGGUUUAAGCAUGUAGGCGGAGCGACUUGGUAAAUCCGGUUGCUUAUCAACGCUGAGGUGUGAUGACGAGCCACUACGGUGGUGAAGUAGUUGAUGCCAAGCUUCCAGGAAAAGCCUCUAAGCAUCAGGUGACAUUCAAUCGUACCCCAAACCGACACAGGUGGUCAGGUAGAGAAUACUCAGGCGCUUGAGAGAACUCGGGUGAAGGAACUAGGCAAAAUGGUGCCGUAACUUCGGGAGAAGGCACGCUGGCAUUAGGUAAAGAGACUUGCUCUCGGCGCCGAAGCCAGUCGCAGAUACCAGCUGGCUGCAACUGUUUAAUAAAAACACAGCACUGUGCAAACACGAAAGUGGACGUAUACGGUGUGACGCCUGCCCGGUGCUGGAA